CAUGGCGACUCCUGAGGGCUCAGUCCCGUGCUACCGGUCGGGAGGACUCUGUGCCCCUCUGUGCCCCAGUCGUGCCCAUGAGAGGGAUCUCGCUAAGGGCAAGCGGGUGGCUUCAGGCUGCUCAGGAAGAAGUCUUAACGGGGAUCCUGAUUCUGCUCCAAAGCAGCAGUUAUUUGGACAUCCCUCUGAUACUGGCUACAAACAAGCAGCAAGGACAGCAAGAGGCACAGGGCUCUGCUUUGCUGGCUGCAGGACGUGGAAGGCAGCAGGGAGACCUCAGGAGAACCCCAGGGGUGUUCCAUCCCGAGAAGUCUCUUGUGCAGCAGCACCCCACCUCUCCCACCCCGUGGGCUUCAGGAGCACCACGCUUUGAUCACACAUCAGCCCCACCUGGAGCAGGGACAGCUUACAAAUAACCAAGGGAAAAAGAAGACACAUGAAUGGACACUGACUACCACACACAACAACAGCCCUGCAGGUCAACUCACGGCCUCUUCAGAAUGAAAAAGAAAGGAGAAAAGAAGAGCUCAAGACAAGAAAAACAGAAAAAAAAAAGGAA